GGUGACGGUUACUGUGACGAUGGAGCCCGCUGUGAUGUUAUUGCUGUCUUCAUCAUCGAGGACUGCAAACAAAGGUCGGGAGAACAAUCAGCUGUCAAUCACCCGACAACAGGAAGCGCAGCAUGCUACGUCUGUCGGAGUCUUUGAGACUCACCAGGUCCUGCAGGCUCCGGACUUUGUACUGGGGAACAAGACGAGGGGUGGACAGUGAGGAGGAGGAGCCAUGAGCCACUGUGUGAGCGCGUGUUAAACCCUGGUACCUUCUUGGAAAUGCAGUAUCGAAGAUGCUCCUCUUCAAAGUGCGGCAGCUGCAGCAGAGGCGACUUGGACUCCUGCAGGCCCUGCACGAUCAUCUGCGUCAGCUUCAUGCAGUUCUCAAUGGUGACCAGACGAGGAGCAUGGAAACCUGGAUACACCAAAACGAUAAGUGACAAUGUCCUCCUACACAUCUCUUCACGUGUAAUGUGUGCUUGUGUUCACCUCCUCUGCUGUUGGCCAUCAUGGUCAGCUGACAGCCCACGUUGAUCAUCUCCUGGAGGAGAGCAGGACUCUUCCUCACUGCAAACCUCUGAUCUGAAGCACAAACACGCCAGGCCUGGGUUAAACGUUUAUUUUCACACUGUCACCUCUUAAAAUUGACCAGUAAUAAAGCGGCUGACCUUCGUCCAACUCCUCAGACACGUCCAUGCGUGCCAGGUGAGCAAGUACUAAAACUCUGGCCUUCAGACUGUACGGGUAGCAGAAGGGAGGCUCUUUUUUCUUCACGUUGAUGUUUCCAAGCUCUCGAAUCAACUACAAGAGGGAGAGGAAAAAAUUAUGGGUGAGUUUAAUUUGCCCCUCCUCCAUGGACCUGCAUUUACUUUAUAUUGUCUUUAUUCUACAAAGGAAUAUAAGGGCCACAAGUCAAUAACAUGAGAAUAGCUUGGAAUUUUAAACAAAAAUAGUCUGAAGUUAAGUCCUAAUAUUGCAAGAGAGAAGACAUUAUUAGGGUUCCUAACCUGCGGCACUUCGAUGUUGUCUGUCGGCCGUAUGGUGGCUUCCUUAUUGCUGCGAGGAUCAAACUCAAACGCUGCCGUCAACACCAUAACUAACCCUGCAAGGGGGAAACAAAUAGCAUGUGUUGUCUAAUUGUCUUACUAAGCUGACAAGGUGCAGAGGAAGUAGUAAAAACCUACGCUUCAUGUUCAUGUUGGGCGUCUUGUACAUGAAGUGCAUGAAGAGCUGGGUGGUGUUGAUGAGGAUCUGGUCUCCGCUGUAUCGGAUGGAGCGGUACCACCAUGUACCCUAGUGUAGUACGAGAGGAAUCAGUACGCUACACCUAGCAACCAGUAUAAGCAGACCACUUACCACAACAACAGGGAGGAUGACCAUGAAGGCCAGACCGUAGACUAACAACACCUAGAAGACAGAACAAAGAGACGUUAGCGCUUUGGUAGGAAGCAUACUGUAUACAGUACGUGCUAUAUGUUGAAAAUAAAUACCAGCAUGGAGUUCUUCUGAUCCACUAUCCAGGCAGGCAGGGCAAUACCGAAGCUGGUUGCUGCAAAGACAAAUCCUUCUAGUCAUACUAAAUACUUUGCAUAUUACAAAAAGGCUGAAACCGACCUCCUGGGCCAUCCGGGUUGCCGUACAUUUCCCAGUUCUUCCGCGAUUGCUCGUUGGUGAGACUGCAGGCACAGAGAGGAUUUUGAAUAUUGAAAACUUCAACAGCUUAACUAAAGUCAACCCCAAUGAGUCGUACGCAGCGUAGGCUUUGGCGAUCCUCAUGAAGGUGGCCUCGUCGCCGCCUCUGUCUGGAUGGUAUUUCAGCGACAGCACGCGGUAUUGCUUCUUGAUUUCCGACAGCGAUGACCCCUAGACACAAAAAAAAUAGAAAUCUAAUAACCAGCCGUGUUCCCGCCAGCAAUCUGUACGUAUGGAUGUGUAUGUACCGGGUCUAGGUUGAGGACUUCAUAAGGAUUAUACUCCUGGUACUCCCUGUCCAGCUUGGACACCUUGUAUGCCAGCAGCAGGAACACAGCCCAGCCAAAUAACAAGGCAGCUUUCCUGAAAACACAUUAACAUAAACCUUGUCAUGGUUCCACACACACUAGCGGGCAGCUGGAGCCCAUCAGCGUAAACAGGAAGUAGGAACAUAUACUUUCACACCGGGCUAUGUCAGUUUGGUUUGUGUUCCCCCUUAACUCUUUAAAUACCAAAUAAUACAUCUUUUAUAUGUUAUUAUAAAUACAAAGACCUAUUUAUACAGCUUUUAUGUUUUUUAGCACAACAGGCAAAAAGAGGCAAUGACGCAACUGCACACUAAUUGACGCUUCUGGAGCAGUUUUAUGCCAUAAGACGGCCACAAGGUGGCAGAGGUGCACUGAUAAGAGCUCGGCAUGGAUCUUUGGCAUGUACAAACACUCGACCACCGCAAGGAGGAAGUGGAAGAGGUUGUAUGUAAUUGUAAAUAGCUCAUUUGUAAAUGCACUUAUUUUGAUGUAAAACAACGACCCUGCAAGAAAAGUCGUAACACCGGUAGGUUUGACAAAGAAAUGAUCAGGCACGCAGGCAUCGAUUGGUGUAGCCUGGGUUAAGCUGUCAAGCAGCAGCCAUUGAGUUUUUUUUUUUUACAGACUUGUGUAACCCUAUGUGACAUAGCACACAUGCAUAUUCAUGUCUCGACAUGAAUGAAAGCUUCGAAAGGCAUUUAUCGGCAGAUACUAAUCAAAUCGAUCGGAGCAUCCCCAAUUAUUACUGUACUAUUAUUACGAUACUGUAUAAACAGUAAGGCAGGUUGAGAUGUUUGGCAUCUGUGUGUGCAAGUUCAACUUGUUUCCAUGGCAAUAACAAAGCCCAAAGGCCUGCUCUGCAUCAGCAUCUGUUGCCAUGACUACCCCCCCCCCAAUCCCCACCACCGGCCAGCCGAGAGUUGUUGGCGACCACAAAGACAAAGGAAAUAAAAAAUCCAGACGGAUUGCUGUGAUAAACGUCUGCACAGAUACACACCGACGACCACUUUGCUUAAUGAAACACAUUUCAUGCUGGCAGCAGCGUCAAUCAGCAGAGACACCAAAUAGAAGUGGAAAGCCGACGUACGACCGACUAUCAACCGGGCCCGAGAAAGCAGACAUGAAAUAAACAGAAGAGUGAGGCAGGAAUACUGAACACCAGGACCCUGGAGAAUAACUCCUUUCCCCACAGUCAAAACAUCCUGCUGUAAAUAGAACAACUUCACUUGGACUUAAAAGUCCUUUCAUUGCAACUUUUCACACAACUAACAAGCAAGGAUGUAACACUUCAGUUCAUUAGCGCCAGAUGCAAAAUGAAGUAUAAAUGUCAGACUGGGGAGGAACAUUAAAUUACAAUAAAUUGUGUAUUUUUGGAAAUAAAUGUGUAAUGUCUCAAUAAAAAGUGGUAAUGUGAGAGUCGUAAAAUGGUAAUGUUUAAGCAUCAAGUCACAACACUAAAAAGAAAUAUGCAGUUUCUCCCUUAACAAGGUGAAUUGCUUCCAAAUUCAAUCUUAAUAAAUAUAAUAUUUUCAUAGUUAUGGCAUAGAAAACCUGUUUAGAAUUUCUAAAUCCACUUUAACAUUAUUAGACCCCCGAAGACACGAAAUAAAACCCCUAUAGUCACCUUUACACUCCGAUUAAGUGGCCAAUGUAGAAUACUACAUUCACAAUUAUGAUGCUUCCUCUGCCUUGUAUUUUAAUUAAUUUAGCCUUUUUUAUGUUGAAAUGCUUCAUUUAACUUUAAUAACUGCAAUUUGUUUAAAUAUACAUAUCUUUUUACUGAUAGUUCAUAUUCAACCACAAAAGUUAUUUAUUAACUUUUAGAAAAAGGCGAUAUAGAGAAGGAGCGCUGAUCAAAACCGUGAUAUGCAAGGACUAUCUAAUGCAAUGCAACUGCGCAAAAGUAGCAUUUUUUUCAACCCAUAUUACAAAACAAGACCAGCAAGAAAUUAAUUUCCGCAGUUUAGGAUUCAAUGUUAAUUAAUGAAAUGUUUUCAUAGUUAAGAGCAUAAAAAAACCUGUUUAUGAAUGUAUAAAUACAACAUUAUUAGAACCCUGUAGACAUGAACCAACACCCCCAACUCCUAUUAUUCAUUGUUUACAACACAUUGUGCAACUCUUAUGCUGUAGGGACUCAACACGGCCGCUAGCUAGUGAGCUAACUAGUUGGCCACAAAAUUUUUCUAAACCAAAAAAGCAAAAAACUUACCACUUCCACACAUAAUGUGUGGAUAACUUUUUUUUUUAACACUGUCGGACAUGCUUUGGCUGACUUCAUGCAAUGUUAAGGUAAUGUAAGGUCAUGUCUCAAUGUUUUGUGGUAUAACUGCCACCUAGUGACCAGAAUACUACAUAUCACUUGUAUUUCAAUGUUUUGACUAAUAAUGGACCAUAGUCUCCCACCAAACAGCCCUCAUUUAUUCGUGAAUUUUGAGAAAAAUCACAAUACUGGUCAGGAACGAUGAUCGAACUGCGAAACUGGCAGGAACGACUAUUACAAUGUGUUCUCAUGUUGCGCCUUUUUCAGCCUAAUCCUUGUUCUACUUUCAUGACUUUCUUCUUACAGUAUCUUUUACCCUUCAUGUCAGUGCGGCCGCUAUACUUCCCGUCUUCCAAAAUAGACACAACGUGAGGCUAAUUUUAGAGAGCCGUCCCUUUCACAGCAGCUAAAACAUCAUGAAAUAAUCAUAACAAAAAACAUAUGUGAUUCCCCUUAAGAGGACACACAUUUGUAAUUAUUUUGGACUCACUUUAAAGUAGGGAUGAUGCUCUGCUGGGACUUCAUCACCCUGAGGCGGUACCACAGGCACCUGCCAUGGACCCUUCGCAGGCUCUUCAGACGCAAUUGUUCUGGAACACACACACAAUGCUUUAGAAAAAGAAAAAUGUGGUGCUACUUAUGGCAAAGUUGGUAAAAGGUUCUGCUAAUGCUUAAAAUGACUAAUACAUGUCAAAAUACUAAUAAAAUUUUACAUGUUAUCAUGAAUUUGCCUGUUACUACAUGGUCACAGCAUGGAUUAAAAAAAACUUGUUAGAAGUUUUGGAGAUGUUUAAAUAGCAGGCUUACUAGGUGAAAUAGGUGUGUCCCAUUUCGUGCAUGAAUUAGCUGCCUCUUUUCAGCUGGUUUUAUAUCUUUAGAACUCACGGAAAAGGGAAAGACGUGUGUUCAUGUCCCAUAUAAGGAUUGUGGAUAAUGGACAAAAGUCCAAAACAAAGUAAACGACAUUAACCUCCACUGGCUGGUCUUCAUGGGAAGUCCCAGAACAGCUGAAGGGGGAACUUUCUUGACAGAAAUGAGAAUAAGUGAAUUAUGAAUGCAAUCACGACUUUCAACGGAAAGAACCAGAGCAGUUGAACCAACUCGCCCUGGCCGGCGAGGCUUUCUAUGGGACAGGGAGCGUAAGGAGGUUGUGUCAUGAGCAUUUAUCUGUGAUGCAUCUCAUUAUGUAAAUGUUACAUAAUGUUCGGUGUAUUUAAAUCAGAUGACAUGUUAGGGAGCGCAGCCCCAUUUGUGCAUGUUGCCAUAUGCAUGUGUGCACUAAUUGUGUUGUAGCAAGCACUACAUAUGCUGUCUUUUUUGUGUUACUAAAUUAUGUAAAGGUAAACAUCUGUGAUGACCUGUCAGGCAAGAGAGUAGAGUGCUGGAAUACGUUGCAUACGCCACGUCAAAUGUGCGCUGCUGUUGUUGACAAACACGUCAAGUUAAGGUUAUUAUCAGCUCCAUAAGGUCGCACAAAUGUGAAGUCACUUAGGGAGUUAUUUCCUUAGGGGGAUACGGCAGCGGCUUUUCGUGUUAUUGGCUUUAAGUUGGUCACUAGGAUUCCACUUUGAAGUGCCACUGUGAUGACAAGGUAGGAGUGAGGCUUGGCUAGUGUGAAGGACUCUUAAGAUAUGUUAGCACUUAGCUAAGUGAAGUGUCUCCCAACAUGUUCGGAAAGAGUUGCCAGGCUAGCUAAGUUAGCAUGGAGACAGACAGCGGGGCCUUACCAGCAUUCUGAUCCCGGGGCCAGAGGUAAUAGGUGGCCGGGAUCACAAUGAGUCCCACGAAGGAGGUGAGGAAAUAGAAGAACGUAUUGCCGCUGUCAUCGUACUGGAACUGUUGGCCGGCCAUUUUCGUCGCGGCGCUGCCGAGUCCUCCGAAUCCUCUUGUUCGCCGCCGCGGCGCGUCCCCCCCACCGUAAGCCCGCUGAGUGCUACCUGACUGACGGAGCGUUUAGCUAGCCAGCUAGCAAACUAGUGGAGAGCAGCAUCGGUGUACGUGGUGUACGCGUGCGCAAUGUGCUCCUUUUUCUUCGUUGGUGUCUGAUUGCCUUGGACGGUGUCACGACCGCCCUCAACAGGUUACUAGCGCACAUGACAGCCCGGAAACCAACUUUGAAGGGUGAAUUUGAGAAUCCAUAAACAUAUUAAUUGUUGAUUAACAUUUUGGAAACGGUAGUAAGUAAAUGAGAGAACAUUUUUAUUUUCACUUUAAUUACUUUAUUACUCUUUUGCUUUUGAUUUUUGACCUCCACUUAUUACUUGUUCUUUCGAUUGAUUGCUUAUUUGAUUUCUCCAACACAGUACUCUGCCCCAAACAAUAAUACAAAUCAAAUGUGAUUUAAUCAUUUAUUCAAAUGUCAUAUUUGUAAUGAUAUGAUGUCAUCUCGGUGCAGGUUCAUAUGUGCACCACAAUGUCCUCCAGAGGUUUGCGUGAGAGGUCGGGUACCGUGGCAUCUUUAGCAGGAUAGCCUACAGGAAGUAGCAUGAGGAGCUUCUCGUUGGGUGGCCGUUUGAGAAGGAGCCUGAGCUGAGGGCCGCAGUUGAGGGGCGUGGACGUUACGGUAACAAGACCGACGUUCUGGGAAAUGGACAGGAGCACCAGUGUGACACAUAUCAAUAGACUGCACAUUAGGAUUUUUUGACUGUAUUUUACCUGCAGUGCAGCCAGUAGGAUACCACAGGCUAUGGAGACACUGAUUUCAUUGUAGUAAUGUGUCUUCUUUUUAUUGUUUGGUAGGGUGCCGUAGGUCUGCUUGAAGACCAGGAUCAGGUAUGGAGACACAUCCAAGUACUCCUUGAUCCAGUUUGUCCUGCAGAGGCAAUGUAGUCAUUGGAAGUGUAUUACUGGUUAGCACAAGUGCUAAUUCAGUUAAUUAAUUAAUUCAGUUGAAUUACAAGAUGUACAGGCUCACCUUAAUUUUGCCAAAUCUUUCACCCACUUGUCCCCCAUCCUCUGGCGGUAGUUCAUCUCCUCCUCUUCCUCCACUAUCAGCCUAAUCUGGUGUUUGGUGUCCGCAUCCGAGACCACCACAAAGGUCCAGGGUUCUGUGUGUGCUCCGCUGGGGGCGGUGCCUGGCCAAGACAUGUUUGUCUCCAUGCCUGCGGUGUGGACCACGUUGUCGAUUAUUUCCCGUGGAACCAGCUCUGGGCUGAUGAAGCGGACCGACCUGCGCUGGUUCAUCAGCGCGUAGAAGUGCUGAGAGCGCUGCAACAUUUGGUCCUCGGGAUGCCGUUGAGGUGAGUAGGGCACGUGCAGGACAUCGUCCUCCAUGUUGCUGUCCACCCACUCGCCUUCCUCUGUGACAUUUAACACAAGGAAGGUUCAA